GAUGAACGCUGGCGGCGUGCCUAAUACAUGCAAGUCGAGCGAACAGACGAGGAGCUUGCUCCUCUGACGUUAGCGGCGGACGGGUGAGUAACACGUGGAUAACCUACCUAUAAGACUGGGAUAACUUCGGGAAACCGGAGCUAAUACCGGAUAAUAUAUUGAACCGCAUGGUUCAAUAGUGAAAGACGGUUUUGCUGUCACUUAUAGAUGGAUCCGCGCGGCAUUAGCUAGUUGGUAAGGUAACGGCUUACCAAGGCGACGAUGCGUAGCCGACCUGAGAGGGUGAUCGGCCACACUGGAACUGAGACACGGUCCAGACUCCUACGGGAGGCAGCAGUAGGGAAUCUUCCGCAAUGGGCGAAAGCCUGACGGAGCAACGCCGCGUGAGUGAUGAAGGUCUUCGGAUCGUAAAACUCUGUUAUUAGGGAAGAACAAAUGUGUAAGUAACUAUGCACGUCUUGACGGUACCUAAUCAGAAAGCCACGGCUAACUACGUG
rnacentral:rRNA from 1 species